ACAAACGACAUUUAUAACCUCCUGGAGCGAGGAGCAGCCAGGAGGCGCACAACAGACACUCUAUUGAACAAACGCAGCAGCCGUUCUCACUCUGUUUUUAGCAUAACUAUUCAUGUCAAAGAAAUGACUGUUGGAGAUGAGGAGCUCAUUAAGUGUGGCAAGCUCAAUCUUGUUGAUUUAGCAGGAUCAGAAAAUAUUUCUCGAUCAGGUGCACGAGAGGCUCGUGCAAGAGAAGCGGGGGAAA